CUCAGGUAUUACUGAAUCCGCACACAUAUCGACACGUUGUCCUGGGUGCCCUUCGGGGUUGGAUGGCGGGAUAUGUGGAGGCUCAAC
rnacentral:sRNA from 1 species